GGCGAGAUAGCUCAGUUGGCUAGAGCACAUGGUUCAUACCCAUGGUGUCGAGGGUUCGAAUCCCCCUCUCGCUA
rfam:Lachnobacterium bovis DSM 14045 genome assembly, contig: IE72DRAFT_scaffold00023.23